UGGUUGCCACCCAAGAGAGGAUUAGGGUC
rnacentral:piRNA from 1 species